rnacentral:rRNA from 1 species
UCGGGAAUUUUGGGCAAUGGGCGAAAGCCUGACCCAGCAACGCCGCGUGAAGGAUGAAGUAUUUCGGUAUGUAAACUUCGAAAGAAUAGGAAGAAUAAAUGACGGUACUAUUUAUAAGGUCCGGCUAACUACGUGCCAGCAGCCGCGGUAAUACGUAGGGACCAAGCGUUGUUCGGAUUUACUGGGCGUAAAGGGCGCGUAGGCGGCAUGACAAGUCACUUGUGAAAUCUCUGGGCUUAACCCAGAACGGCCAAGUGAUACUGUCGCGCUAGAGUGCAGAAGGGGCAAUCGGAAUUCUUGGUGUAGCGGUGAAAUGCGUAGAUAUCAAGAGGAACACCUGAGGUGAAGACGGGUUGCUGGGCUGACACUGACGCUGAGGCGCGAAAGCCAGGGGAGCAAACAGGAUUAGAUACCCUAGUAGUCCCUGAGCGGGCUGGCAAGGCGCAU